rnacentral:rRNA from 1 species
CCUACGGGAGGCAGCAGUGAGGAAUAUUGGUCAAUGGCCGGAAGGCUGAACCAGCCAUGCCGCGUGAAGGUCAGUGCCCUAUGGGCGUUAAACUUCUUUUGUGCGGGAGCAAUAAUGGUCACGUGUGGCCAGACGAGAGUACCGUACGGAUAAGCAUCGGCUAACUCCGUGCCAGCAGCCGCGGUAAUACGGGGGAUGCAAGCGUUAUCCGGAUUUACUGGGGGUAAAGGGGGCGGAGACGGUCCUGCAAGCCAGAUGUGAAAGCCCCGGGGUCAACCCCGGGAGUGCAUUUGGAACUGUAAGGCUAGAGUGGCGGAGAGGCACGCGGAAUUCCUAGUGUAGCGGUGAAAUGCGUAGAUAUUAGGCGGAACCCCAGUGGCGAAGGCGGCCUGCUGGACGAUGACUGACGUUGAGGCUCGAAAGCGUGGGGAGCAAACAGGAUUAGAUACCCCUGUAGUC